GAUGAACGCUGGCGGCGUGCCUAAUACAUGCAAGUCGAGCGAACAGACGAGGAGCUUGCUCCUCUGACGUUAGCGGCGGACGGGUGAGUAACACGUGGAUAACCUACCUAUAAGACUGGGAUAACUUCGGGAAACCGGAGCUAAUACCGGAUAAUAUAUUGAACCGCAUGGUUCAAUAGUGAAAGACGGUUUUGCUGUCUCUUAUAGAUGGAUCCGCGCCGCAUUAGCUAGUUGGUAAGGUAACGGCUUACCAAGGCAACGAUGCGUAGCCGACGUGAGAGGGUGAUCGGCCACACUGGAACUGAGACACGGUCCAGACUCCUACGGGAGGCAGCAGUAGGGAAUCUUCCGCAAUGGGCGAAAGCUUGACGGAGCAACGCCGCGUGAGUGAUGAAGGUCUUCGGAUCGUAAAACUCUGUUAUUAGGGAAGAACAAAUGUGUAAGUAACUAUGCACGUCUUGACGGUACCUAAUCAGAAAGCCACGGCUAACUACGUG
rnacentral:rRNA from 1 species